rnacentral:rRNA from 1 species
AAAAUAAAAUUUGAUUUUAAAAAAAUUUAAUUUUUAAACUAGGAUUAGAUACCCUAUUAUUUUAAGCUUAAUGUUGGUAGUAAGUAAAAUUUAUGAAAUCAUAAAAUUUUGGCGGUAUUUUAAGCUUGUUAGAGGAAUUUGCUCUAUAAUGGAUACAACGCCUAUAUCUUACUUAAUUUUGUAAUUAAAGUCAGUUUGUAUACCACUAUAUUUAAUUAUAUUGAAUAAUUAUAUUUAAGAUUUUUAUAUAAAUAUAUAUUAAGUCAAGGUGCAACAAAUAAUUA